ensembl:snoRNA
AAAGCAGGCUGCAAUUACAGUGCUUCAUUCCGUGGGAGUACUGCCAUUUUCCUGCUGAGAGUAACUCUGUUAAACACUGUCUCCAGUUUCACCUACACGGUGGUGAAACUGUUUGUUCUUAGCAUGUACAAGU